UACGUAGGCAGCAAGCGUUGUUCGGAAUUACUGGGCGUAAAGAGUGUGUAGGCGGUGCUCUAAGUUCGGUGUGAAAUCUCCCGGCUCAACUGGGAGGGUGCGCCGGAAACUGGGGGUGCUGGAGCGCGGGAGAGGAAAGCGGAAUUCCUGGUGUAGCGGUGAAAUGCGUAGAUAUCAGGAGGAACACCGGCGGUGUAGACGGCUUUCUGGACCGUAGCUGACGCUGAGACACGAAAGCGUGGGGAGCAAACAGG
rnacentral:rRNA from 1 species